CCAGCUUCCUCCCUGACGUGGCACCGUCUCUUUGGCCUCCAGCCUUGCGCCUCAGAGCAGGCCUGGGGUAGGGGUGGUCCCCGUGCUUGCGCCGGCAGUGGAGUUCUUCCUACACCAGGUGGCCCUGCAGCCUCUCCCCCUCAGCGCUCACACCCUGACCUAGCACAUGGCCCUGGGAUCCUGCAGAGAGAGACUCUGAGUUAGACCAUCUGCGGGCCCAAGGACCGCCUGACUCUCCGUCCCCCGCUGCCCCGGCUGAGUGCCCCACAUUUUCUGCAGAAAUGAGACCCCAUCCCCCAGGGCAGUGGGGAGGAAUGUGCUGGGCUGGUGGGCAAGGGCGGUGGACAGGGUUCUAUUGCUUUCUCGCCGACCCUUUGUCAUCCCUAAAGGCAGGACGGCUUCCUCCGUUGCUGAAUGAACAGAAAAAGGUGGAGUGGUCAGCCUCCCACUGCUGCCUGGGGUCCCAGCCAGAUGAGCAGUGUCUGCCUUUUCUCCCAGGGGGCGCUCACACUUGGGACGUGGACCCUUCCUCCCUCCAGCUUCCCUGACUCUGCUCCCCUCUCCUCCCCCGUCCCAGCCGUCUCUUCCUUCUUCAGCUCUCCCCUUCUUUCCCCUCUCUGUGCUUCCUGUCUCUCCCCCUUCCUAUUUCUCCUCCUCUGUCAGGUCCCCAGCCCCUCCUCCCAUUUCUCCUUCAGUCUCUAUGGAGACCUGUCCUUUCUCACCAGCCUGCCUUCCCCUGCCGACUCAUCUUUCUCUCCUUCUCUCUUUGCUUGCCCCUCCUCCCUCCUCACUUCCCGACCAGUCUCUUGCCAUCUCUCCCUCUCCUCUAAACCUCCUGGCAGCCCCUUCCACCUGCCUGCAGGGCCCUAGGGCCUCUUACCCUGCGAGGCUCGGUGGUGUCUCUGUGGGGCCCUGUCCAUGGGGCAACUCCCUUGGUGCCGUCCUUGCUGCCCUGGCUGCCCAGGAGGGCAGGGAGCAGGGCCCAGGGGAGGGAAGAGGGAGGAGGGAGGGAGCACCUGGCCCAGCAUCAGGCAGGGGAAAGGAGUGGCUGGCAGAGCAUCCUGGCAUCAGGAGGGGACAAGGGGAGAGACGGGAGGAACAGAGUUUGGAGGCUUGAGGAGAAACAGGAUAGGUGAUGGGAAGGGGGCUAGCAUUUAUCGAUCACCUUCUGUGUGCUGGGCCCUUUGCCGGUCACUUUAUGUAAAUCCGUGAUUUUCUCCAAUCCUCCCAACAUCCACCAUGAGGCCGGCAUAGUCGCUCCAGAUAACUAUGUGAUGCUUAUAAGGUAAGUGAUGCUCAAAGAUAGUCAUGAGUUGCCCAAGGACUUGCACAAGGACAAUAAGUGGCUGAGCUGUGAUUUGAACCCAGGUCUUUGUGAGUUUAGAAUCAUGCGCUUUCUACUUGACCAAGACAGGUGACGGGAACAGGGGAAGUGGGGAGGGGAGAGAUGAAGACGGGAUGGCUUAUUCGGGGGAUGGUGCCUCUUCUACAGGAUGAGGUCAGACUCAUCUCCGUGGUUCUUGGGUUCCUUGAGGCCUCUGCUUAGCCUCUGCCCUUUGCUGCCCUUUGCUGCCCUUCCCUAGAAUUCCCUGGCUCCCUGGUGCCUCCACAUCCUCCUGGUCUGCUGGGGCUGUGGGCAGGCCUGGAGGAGUGUGCUGAGGCAGAGGAGCCAUGGGACAGGAGGGGAGCCACGUUGCACUGCACUAGUUGCGGGAAGGAGACCCCCCCAGAUUGGGCAGACCCACGCUGAGGAAGGGCUCUGUGGAGAGCUACAGGAUACUGCUUCCGCGGGACCCGGAUGCCACUAAUCUCCUGCACAGACUCGGCCCAGAGUUUGAUUAGCUGGGCCUGGCUCUCCUGCUUACCCAACAGGCCGGCUGGCCAGAGGCCAGGCUGCAGUGGGGAGGCUCCCUGGCACCUCCUCCGGCUCUCACUCCCAGCUGGUAAACAGCAGAGCAGGAGCCAGCCACGCCUCAGCCUCGUGACUGCAGCCCACUCCUCCCCGGUGCACGUGGCAUCUGGCGUGGAGAGGGCAGGCAGCUGUCCCUUCCCUCACCUGCCCUCCCACCUCACCAUCCUGCGCUCGUGCCCCACCCUGGAAGCGCACGCUCCGCUACCAUCAACACCUCCGUUCCUGGGUAGCUCCCAGAGACUCCGGAGGGCUGCAGCUUACGGGACAAAGGUUAGAAGUAGAAAAGGACUUUCCAGCUCCCAGGAUGGUUGACAAGGGUGCAGGGAGUGAGGAAGAGUGGAGUGGAAACUUUUGGGGACCUUCCUAUACCGAGAGUCUGAGGGCGUGUGUCUGUUCGUCUGAGACUCUGAUUAUCCCCGUGUCCUUUUGGUAAAUGCAUGGCCCACGCGUCUGUGUAUACUUCUCUGCACAGAACAGGAUGUUGGUCUGUUUUGGGGCUCAGCCCCUUGGGCAAGCUUGGAGUAAGAAGUAAAGCUCUCUAAAGCACCACCCAGGCCAGUGCCCAGCAGACAAGUAGAGCCAGCAAGAGGCAGAGGGGCAGGGUGCAGGGGCUGCUGGGGCAGAGUGUUGCUCUGCUGUCCCCUUCCCUGCCCACGAUUGGCUUUGCUUCCUCUCGGUAUCCUCUCUCUGUGUCUCUGCCUGCCAACCCCUCCAUGCCUAUGGCUCUUCUGUUUUCUGUGCCUCGGUAGCUCAUCCCUCUUUCUAUUUUCUCCUCUUUCAGCCUCUCUUCCUCUGUGACUCUGGGUCCCUCAGGAUCCUUCUUGACCUACCAAGCAUGGGCAUGGAAUAGAGGCCGUGCAAAGCGCCUGGGGAUGGGCACUUGGCCCUGGCAUCGUGCCAGGCAGCCCUGCCCACCCCAGAUACGGUAGGUCUGGCUGCCUCUCUCAGCCGUGCCACUUCGUGCCACUGUGUAAGGUGGGGAGGAAGUGACUGGUGGUUGGGAAGACAGGGUCCUGGCUCUAGGCCUAAGCUAGUCUCAUGCUUCCCAGCGUAUCUCUAUGCCUUCCUUACCCUAAGCAUGGAUGGCUGGUGUUCUUUCUCCCUGGGGCAAGUAGGUACCCUGAUCAUCCUUUUGGGAAGUCCCCCCCUCAUGCCUACACUUCCUCCCUUCUGCUCUAAUCACAGAUCCUUUUCUGGAGGAAUCAGUCCUUUCAGAGCAGGGCAGUGGUUAUUUCCUCCCCAAAUACAUUCUCACAUUCUUAUGCAAGGAAGAGGCUGAUAGGGAUCAGAGAAUCAAUUCACCCACCACGUGCCCAAGUUCCCUUAUCAGGGGAAUCUGAACGCCAGGGGCAAGCAGCCUGGGGGUGUGGAGGGUGGUGGUGGUGGCUUGGAACUGGGGAGCAGUCACCAACUUCUUCUUCCCUUCCUUUCCACCCCCUAGACCACAGAAACCACUUAAAGCUCGUGCAAGCCUGCCCCUCCUGGGAGGGCCUGGGGUGUAAAGGUGGAAAGUUUGUGGGGCCUGGGCUGACUGCAUGCUACAUACCACCUCAGCUCCAUCCUUCGAGGGCCACCCGCUCUGGGAGGCCUGAUCCAGUGGUUAAGAGUACCUUCCUAUGUGUCCUUUCUAAGAGGUCCAUGCCUGGGGGAGACCUCAACCCACCGGAGGGACUCAGGGAGGGGGCACAGUCCCCUCAGCCAUUAAAAAAAAGGACAUCUCCGGCUCUAUAAACAUCUGUAGAUCUCACAGUCACCACCCCUCCCCUUUCCUGUUACAAAGGCCACUGUGGGUGGAGGGACCAGUGGGAGUUUGACCUCAGCUCCUGGCCCUGAACUCUCCGUGUGACCCUGCCUGUGGCACUCAUCUGUCAAUUAACAUCUGUGGUCAUUUAGACUUGGACGUUGCAAGGAGGGUUGAAAAGCAGGAGCUCUGAUUUUUGGAGCCGAAAGACGGGUAAGAACGUAGCCUACUAUUAGUCCUCAAUUACCACAUUGUUAAAAAGGGGGCAGUAAUAUCUGUCCAGACUUGCGUCUGUGAACAUGCUUUGAGGCCAGAGCAGUCUGCACACAGGAGGGGUUCUUACGACCUUAUUUGCCCCAGGGCAUGCUUCUGUGGCUUUAGUUUAGCCUGGAAGUUCCUCCAGGGACAUUGUGGUCCCCAUGGGGGGGUGGGGAGGGGGAGGGUCACAGCUGUGGAUACUGAACGAACUGCUCCUGACUGGAGUGGACUUGAAUUCUCACCUUGCGAGCCUCCUCUGAAUGGCAGGUGAGGUAGGAGGUCUGGAUGGAGCCACAGUCCUAAAACUUCCCUGCAGUCAGGGCUGAUCCUCAGGCAAGUUUACUUAACCUCUCUGAUCUAUCUUCUCCGUAAAAUGGUAACAGUAGCCGCCUUACUGAGUGGUUGCAAUGAUUAACUGGCAUAACAAUAAAGUACAGAACCUACUGGUACAAAGUACUGUGGUUAAAAAGCAAUGUUUCGGUCCCUCCCUCCCUCUUUCCAUUCUUACAAUCUUCCUUUCUUCUCUUUGUCUGACUCCCUUCCUAAUCUCUCUCCUGCUUUAUUUUUCUCUAGAACAUAUUACCAGGUGUCAUUUCUACAUUUUACUUAUUCAUUUUGUAAAUUGUCUGAUACUCGUGUCUGUUUUUUGUUUUGUUUUGUUUUGUUUUUUGCGGUACGCGGGCCUCUCACUGUUGUGGCCUCUCCUGUUGCAGAGCACAGGCUCCAGACACGCAGGCUCAGCGGCCAUGGCUCACGGGCCCAGCCGCUCCGUGGCAUGUGGGAUCUUCCCGGACCAGGGCAUGAACCCGUGUCCCCUGCAUCGGCAGGCGGACUCUCAACCACUGAGCCACCAGGGAAGCCCCCCGUGUCUGUUUUGAUCACUGCUGUAUCCAAUGCCCAGAACCUCCUGGCCUUCCCUAAGUAUUUGUUGAAGGACUGCAUGAAUGAAGGGUAAAUGGCCUCUACUUCUCUUUCCAGCUACUUUCAAAUGGGCGUCAAAUCCAGUUACUCACCAAAGGUUGUUAGGGGAGGAUUUGGGACUGAAGUAGGACAGUACUAGGGAUAGAGCUGGAUCUAUGGGUGGACUUCACAGCCUGAAAAGAUCGGAGAGCUGUCAUCCUGGGGAAGGAAGUGACCUGACUGGGAAGUGGCAGCUGGCACUUAGGGAUAUUAUAGUGAGGUGAUUAAGAACCCAGAGUCUAAGGCCAGACUCUCUGGGUAUGAAUCCUAGUUCUACCCCUCACUGGAUGAGUAAAACCCAAGGUCACACUGGAUAAAAAUAUUAGCAAUAGUACUUAACCCUCAAUGGGGUUGUUGGCAAGUUGUUGGAACGGUUCCUCGCAUGGCGAUUAUCUUGGCGCAGCUGUUAGUACUUAAUAUUAUUUGAUCAAUGCUACCACCUAGUGGACAUCUGGAGCAAGAUUUCCCUGGUCUGGGGGGUUGAGGGUGGGGUGGGGAGGGACCUAAUCAGGGGAGGGAGAAGGAACCGAGGGGUGCUCUGAAUGCAAGUGUGUGUGUGUGUGUGUGUGUGUGUGUGAUGUUAGCAUUACACAUGCUGAGGUUUAUCUAGAUCCAGCAGGCAGGCUUGGCCCUGUUUAGGGCCACCGGGCAAAAUGAGAAAGCGGGGAGGGAGAAAGAAGUUGGGUUGGCACAGCGCCUCCCUUCCUCCCUCCCUCUCCCCCUCCCUUCUUUCCUCCUCCAAGCCUGGCCUGAGCCAAGAGGAACCAGCUCCAGGGAAGGUGGGGGAGAGAGAAGGUCACUGCUGACGUCAGGGACAUUCAGUUGACAGUUUUAUGGCAACCACGAAGGGACCCAGAGUGGACUUCUCUCCUUCGCCUAAACUGUACGAGGAACUGGAGCCUUGGUACCAGCAGAGGCCCCUUACACCCAUCUGCCUCCUUGGAGAGUCCAGAUGAAUUUGGAUAUAUGUAUGUCUCAGUAUGUGUGUCCCUUUGGAUAAUGCUGCUGAGGUUAAUUUGUAAAUGACCUCUACUUAACUGGCUUAAGAAAAAGUAAGCACUGACAUUCACAGAAAGAUAGACAAGAUGAAAAGGCAGAGGGCUAUGAACCAGAUGAAGGAACAAGAUAAAACCCCAGAAAAACAACUAAAUGAAGCGGAGAUAGGCAACCUUCCAGAAAAAGAAUUCAGAAUAAUGAUAGUGAAGAUGAUCCAGGACCUUGGAAAAAGAAUGGAGGCAAAGAUCAAGAAGAUGCAAAAAAUGUUUGACAAAGACCUAGAAGAAUUAAAGAACAAACAAACAAAGAUAAACAAUACAAUAACUGAAAUGAAAACUACACUAGAAGGAAUCAAUAGCAGAAUAACUGAGGCAGAAGAACGGAUAAGUGACCUGGAAGACAGAAUGGUGGAAUUCACUGCUGCAGAAUAAAGAAAAAAGAAUGAAAAGAAAUGAAGACAGCCUAAGAGACCUCUGGGACAACAUUAAACGCAACAACAUUCGCAUUAUAGGGGUCACAGAAGGAGAACAGAGAGAGAAAGGACCCAAGAAAAUAUUUGAACAGAUUAUAGUCAAAAACUUCCCUAACAUGGGAAAGGAAAUAGCCACCCAAGUCCAGGAAGUGCAGAGAGUCCCAUACAGAAUAAACCCAAGGAGAAACAUGCCGAGACACAUAGUAAUCAAAUUGGCAAAAAUUAAAAACAAAGAAAAAUUAUUGAAAGCAGCAAGGGAAAAAUGACAAAUAACAUACAAGGGAACUCCCAUAAGAUUAACAGCUGAUUUCUCAGCAGAAACUCUACAAGCCAGAAGGGAGUGGCAUGACAUAUUUAAAGUGAUGAAAGGGAAGAACUGACAACCAAGAUUACUCUAUCUGGCAAGGAUCUCAUUCAGAUUCGAUGGAGAAAUCAAAAGCUUACAGACAAAACAAAAGCUAAAAGAAUUCAGCACCACCAAACCAGCUCUACAACAAAUGCUAAAGGAACUUCUCUUAAGUGGGAAACACAAGACAAGAAAAGGACCCACAAAAACAAACCCAAAACAAUUAAGAAAAUGGUAACAGGAACAUACAUAUCGAUAAUUACCUUAAAUGUGAAUGGAUUAAAUGCUCCAACCAAAAGACACAGGCUCGCUGAAUGGAUACAAAAACAAGACCCAUAUACACGCUGUCUAUAAGAGACCCACUUCAGACCUUGGAACACAUACAGACUGAAAGUGAGGGGAUGGAAAAAGAUAUUUCAUGCAAAUGGAAAUCAAAAGAAAGCUGGAGUAGCAAUACUCAUAUCAGAUAAAAUAGACUUUAAAAUAAAGAAUGUUACAAGAGACAAGGAAGGGCACUACAUCAUGAUCAAGGGAUCAAACCAAGAAGAAGAUAUAACAAUUAUAUAUGCACCCAACAUAGGGGCACCUCAAUACAUAAGGCAACUGCUAACAGCUAUAAAAGAGGAAAUCGACAGUAACACAAUAAUAGUGGGGGACUUUAACACCUCACUUACAUCAAUGGACAGAUCUUCCAGACAGAAAAUUAAUAAGGAAACACAAGCUCUAAAUGACACAAUAGACCACAUAGAUUUAAUUGAUAUUUAUAGGACUUCCAUCCAAAAACAGAUUACACUUUCUUCUCAAGUGUGCACGGAACAUUCUCCAGGAGAGAUCACAUCUUGGGUCACAAAUCAAGCCUCAGUAAAUUUAAGAAAACUGAAAUCAUAUCAAGCAUCUUUUCUGACCACAACGCUAUGAGAUUAGAAAUCAAUUACAGGGAUAAAAACAUAAAAAACACAAACACAUGGAGGCUAAACAAUACUUUACUAAAUAACCAAGAGAUCACUGAAGAAAUCAAAGAUACCUAGAGACAAAUGACAAUGAAAACACGAUGAUCCAAAACCUAUGGGAUGCAGCAAAAGCAGUUCUAAGAGGGAAGUUUAUAACAAUACAAUCCUACCACAAGAAACAACAAACAUCUCAAAUAAACAAUCUAAUCUUACACCAAAAAGAACUAUAGAAAGAAGAACAAACAAUACCCAAAGUUAGUAGAAGGAAAGAAAUCAUAAAGAUCAGAGCAGAAAUAAAUGAAAUAGAAACAAAGAAAACAAUAGCAAAGAUCAAUAAAACUAAAAGCUGGUUCUUUGAGAAGAUAAACAAAAUUGAUAAACCAUUAGCCAGACUCAUCAAGAAAAAGAGGGAGGGGACUCAAAUCAAUAAAAUUAGAAAUGAAAAAGGAGAAGUUACAACAGACACUGCAGAAAUACAAAGCAUCCUAAGAGACUACUACAAACAACUCUAUGCCAAUAAAGUGGACAAUGUGGAAGAAAUGGACAAAU